GCGGAGGAAAAGAAACCAACCGGGAUUGCCUCAGUAACGGCGAGUGAAGCGGCAAAAGCUCAAAUUUGAAAUCUGGUACCUUUGGUGCCCGAGUUGUAAUUUGUAGAGGGCGACUCUGGCAAAGCUCCUUGUCUAUGUUCCUUGGAACAGGACGUCAUAGAGGGUGAGAAUCCCGUGUGACGAGGAGUCUGCGUCGUGUAGAGUGCUCUCGAAGAGUCGAGUUGUUUGGGAAUGCAGCUCAAAGUGGGUGGUAAACUCCAUCUAAAGCUAAAUAUUGGCGAGAGACCGAUAGCGAACAAGUACAGUGAUGGAAAGAUGAAAAGAACUUUGAAAAGAGAGUGAAACAGUACGUGAAAUUGUUGAAAGGGAAGGGCAUUUGAUCAGACAUGGUGUUGUGUGGCCUCGCCCCUUGUGGGUGGGGAACCCCGCGCAGCACUGGGCCAGCAUCAGUUUUGGCGGUGGGAUAAAUCUCUGGGAACGUGGCUUCCUCGGAAUUGUUAUAGCCCAGGGGAAUACUGCCAGCCGGGACUGAGGUCUGCGCAUCUUGCAAGGAUGCUGGCAUAAUGGUUAAAUGCCGCCCGUCUUGAAA
rnacentral:rRNA from 1 species